UGCAGUCGGGCGGUAACACAGAGGAGCUUGCUCCUUGGGUGACGAGCGGCGGACGGGUGAGUAAAGUCUGGGGAUCUGCCUGAUGGAGGGGGAUAACUACUGGAAACGGUAGCUAAUACCGCAUGACGUCUUCGGACCAAAGUGGGGGACCUUCGGGCCUCACGCCAUGAGAUGAACCCAGAUGGGAUUAGCUGGUAGGUGAGGUAACGGCUCACCUAGGCGACGAUCCCUAGCUGGUCUGAGAGGAUGACCAGCCACACUGGAACUGAGACACGGUCCAGACUCCUACGGGAGGCAGCAGUGGGGAAUAUUGCACAAUGGGGGAAACCCUGAUGCAGCCAUGCCGCGUGUGUGAAGAAGGCCUUCGGGUUGUAAAGCACUUUCAGCGGGGAGGAAGGCAAUAAACUUAAUAAGUUUGUUGAUUGACGUUACCCGCAGAAGAAGCACCGGCUAACUCCGUGCCAGCAGCCGCGGUAAUACGGAGGGUGCAAGCGUUAAUCGGAAUGACUGGGCGUAAAGCGCACGCAGGCGGUCUGUUAAGUUGGAUGUGAAAUCCCCGGGCUCAACCCGGGAACAGCAUUCAAAACUGACAGGCUAGAGUCUCGUAGAGGGGGGUAGAAUUCCAGGUGUAGCGGUGAAAUGCGUAGAGAUCUGGAGGAAUACCGGUGGCGAAGGCGGCCCCCUGGACGAAGACUGACGCUCAGGUGCGAAAGCGUGGGGAGCAAACAGGAUUAGAUACCCUGGUAGUCCACGCCGUAAACGAUGUCGACUUGGAGGCUGUGGUCUUGAACCGUGGCUUCCGGAGCUAACGCGUUAAGUCGACCGCCUGGGGAGUACGGCCGCAAGGUUAAAACUCAAAUGAAUUGACGGGGGCCCGCACAAGCGGUGGAGCAUGUGGUUUAAUUCGAUGCAACGCGAAGAACCUUACCUACUCUUGACAUCCAGAGAAGACUGUAGAGAUACGGUUGUGCCUUCGGGAGCUCUGAGACAGGUGCUGCAUGGCUGUCGUCAGCUCGUGUUGUGAAAUGUUGGGUUAAGUCCCGCAACGAGCGCAACCCUUAUCCUUUGUUGCCAGCGAUACGGUCGGGAACUCAAAGGAGACUGCCGGUGAUAAACCGGAGGAAGGUGGGGAUGACGUCAAGUCAUCAUGGCCCUUACGAGUAGGGCUACACACGUGCUACAAUGGCGCAUACAAAGAGAAGCGAGCCUGCGAGGGUGAGCGGACCUCAUAAAGUGCGUCGUAGUCCGGAUUGGAGUCUGCAACUCGACUCCAUGAAGUCGGAAUCGCUAGUAAUCGUAGAUCAGAAUGCUACGGUGAAUACGUUCCCGGGCCUUGUACACACCGCCCGUCACACCAUGGGAGUGGGUUGCAAAAGAAGUAGGUAGCUUAACCUUA
rnacentral:rRNA from 1 species